rnacentral:rRNA from 1 species
UACGGAGGGGGCUAGCGUUGUUCGGAAUUACUGGGCGUAAAGCGCACGUAGGCGGCUUUGUAAGUUAGAGGUGAAAGCCCGGAGCUCAACUCCGGAAUUGCCUUUAAGACUGCAUCGCUCGAAUCAUGGAGAGGUGAGUGGAAUUCCGAGUGUAGAGGUGAAAUUCGUAGAUAUUCGGAAGAACACCAGUGGCGAAGGCGACUCACUGGACAUGUAUUGACGCUGAGGUGCGAAAAGCGUGGGGAGCAAACAGGG